rnacentral:lncRNA from 1 species
CCGGCCCCAGUCCGCUUCUGCGGAGGACGCUGGCGGUGGGGGCGGUCCCGCUGCCCGUGGGUUGGGAGUGCGGAGUAGCGCUGUCUUCCCUCGACCCGACCCUGGGCCAUCAUGCGAGAGUCAACCGUUACCGUCAGCCAGCUCGUCACUGGAACCCAAGCAGAGGCGGCCCGGGCUGACCCUGCCCUUCUUCUGGACCGAAGCCACGGGCCGGGGAAGAGGGCGUCCACGUGGACUCACCGUCCUUGGGCCUCGCGCGCGUGUCAGUGCGUGGUGCAGCCGCUGCACACCGUACUGCGCACGUCUAAAGUGAAGGCGUGGCCAGCUUCCACCUUUGCACACUUGGGAGGCCGCCACCGAAAUGCAGCCAGUGAGCUGACCCCUCGCCCCUCAAAGCGUGCUCCCGCCCUUUGGGAAUGCAGAUUCCCUGGUGUUAGCCUCCCCUCUUCCUAGUUCUGCUAGCGGGUUAGUCAGCAUUUUGUGGCUGUGGCGCAGGACCUGGGGGGAGGGGGACAGCCUAGAGAGGGAAUGAUCUGUUUGGGCUCCUGGUUUCAGAAGUCCUGUCCACUGCCUCCAUUACUUUGGGCCUGAAGUAAAGGCCCAUCGUGGUGGAAGGGCAUGGAAGAGGAAAACGUUCAUCUCAUGGCAGCCAGGAAACAGAAAGGUAGUAAGAUAUAGUCCUCAAGGGCAUGUCCUCAAAGCCAUCCCCUCCAACUAGUUCCCACCUCCUAAUAAAGACAUAGCUGAUUCCCUCAAUGGGUUGAUCCCAUUGAUGAGGUCCAAUCACUUCCCAAGAGCCUUCCUUCCCUCUGGACAUUGCUGCAUUGGGGACUAAGCAUUCAACACAGAAGCCUUUGGGGGAGACUUGAUAUUCAAGUCACAACAGCUGUUCAUUUCCAUUCCUAUAUGACUUUCAGAGGAGUUACCUUCUAUGCCUAGUUCUCGACACCGACAGAUCUACCCAGAUGUGCAGCUAUAACCUAGGUCCUGCCUCCCCUCCUUCACAGUGCCUCUGCUCCUUCUAGGAAACCCUUCCUCUAGUCAAGGACUCCUGAAAGGCAGGAGAAUAAAGGGAUUCUUGCAGGGGCCAUCAUUCCCAUCAGCACACAAAAAGGCCAGAAAAGCUCUUAAAACUACUCACAGAUCCCUUUCUCUUUUCAGCUACCCCAUCAUUUCUCUGUCCCCUUCAGAAUACAAAUUGGAAGAAUUGACCAUCCUCACUGUCUCUCCACUGUUUUCAAGGUUCAUUGAUGUCACAGCUUUUCCUUUCAUGGUUGAAUAAUAACUCAUUGUUGUGGAUGUACAUUUUGUUUAUUCAUUCAUUAGUUGAUGACAUUUGAGUUGAUUCUACUGUUUGGCUAUUAUGAAAUGCUGCUGUGAAUAUCAGUGCACAAGUUUUUGUUAUGUGUGUUUUCAGUUCUCUUAGGUAUUACAACUAGGAAUGGAAUAUAUUUGCCGGGUUUCUGUUCUCGCGACUAAAAGGCUCAGGGGUCACUCUAGUUAAACUGGGCUAACUGGGCUGCAUGAAAUAACCACACAAGACACACAAAUACCUUUUUCUUUGGGGUUGCUGUGACGGCUCCUCUGACCUUAAGGGUCCGCAGAAAGAGAGAGCCCACGCACUGACCCCUUUUAUUGAGAAGCUAUUCAAGUGAGGCAAGGGGUCAGGUUUCAGGGGGAUGAGUCUAUCUUCAUGAUGUCCACUGUCAGCAGGUUGACUGACACCUAGGUAGGCCACACCCAAGGGUACAGUAAGAGGAGGGGACACAUACAAGGCACUUCCAUGGAAGAUUCUAUCCUAAACAGGGCAAGGGGUUAUAUUACAAAGGAACAGGUGAGCAUAGCUUCACCCAUGGGGCUGUAGCAAGACACACCCAUUUCUGUGACUGAGCGCUUCAGCACCCAGCUUGGGAGUGUAACUCAGUCACACGUAAGGUUGGCCUCCCACAUAUAUUAACUCCAUAAUUAACAUUUUAAGGUUCCGUGAAACUUUUUCAAAGCACCUGUACAAUUUAUUUAAUAUAUAAGGAUAUUGUAGCAAUAAAUAAGGAUUCCAGCUUCAUUGUGUCCUUACCAGUGCCUAAUACCGUCUUUUGAUUAUUACUUGCUCAUGCAGUAAUAUCUGGU